GACGAACGCUGGCGGCGUGCUUAACACAUGCAAGUCGAACGGUAAGGCCCCUUCGGGGGUACACGAGUGGCGAACGGGUGAGUAACACGUGAGCAACCUGCCCUUGACUCUGGAAUAACAGUUGGAAACAGCUGCUAAUACUGGAUAUUCAUCGUCUCCUUCCUGGGGGGGGGUGGAAAGCUCCGGCGGUCAGGGAUGGGCUCGCGGCCUAUCAGCUUGUUGGUGAGGUAAUGGCUCACCAAGGCUUCGACGGGUAGCCGGCCUGAGAGGGCGACCGGCCACACUGGGACUGAGAUACGGCCCAGACUCCUACGGGAGGCAGCAGUGGGGAAUAUUGCACAGUGGGCGCAAGCCUGAUGCAGCAACGCCGCGUGCGGGAUGACGGCCUUCGGGUUGUAAACCGCUUUCAGUAGGGACGAAGGGUGACUGACGGUACCUACAGAAGAAGGACCGGCUAACUACGUG
rnacentral:rRNA from 1 species